rnacentral:tRNA from 1 species
GGGGUAAUAGCUCAGUGGUAGAGCACGUGCUUAGCAUGCAUGAAAUCCUGGGCUCAAUCCCCAGUGCCUCCA